CUCCGGCUCAUGGUAAUUACCACUGACCAGGCUCAAUUUUGAGCCCGCUACGACUUUCACACCCCCCUGGUUCUUAUUAAAAUAUUUUUGCUUGUUGAAGUAUUUGCAGUAUAUUCUCGUAGUUUUUGAUUUUUUUUUCAUAUUUUUUGUACCUUUGACCACUGGUUCAAAUGUGUGCAAGUCGUACACAUUAUAUUCUCGUCCUCAGAAGACAGAAAACCUCGAAAUACAUCCGCAAAGACGAUAUUUGAAGCCGCAACUACAGGUAAAAUAAUUCUCAGUUCAUAACUUCACACACUGAGUCACACUCGAGCAAAUUUUCUACAAAAAUUGUUGGGUUUAACUGUGGUACAAUGUAUUAUAUUUUAGCCACAAGUAUGUAAAGGUCUCUAAAGCCUUGUUGUACAAAGUAAUCAACUUUCGUUUCAUUUAAAUCGUGAGCAAAAUGGUUUUUGAUCUAUUGUUUAUUUGUUUACAUGCUCUAUUUGUUGCAUAUUUUAUGAUGUUUUGAAUAAGCCUGUUGUGCAGUUUGUAUUUCAUG